rnacentral:rRNA from 1 species
CCUGUACUUGGUGUUACUGCGAAGGGGGGACGGAGAAGGCUAUGUUGGCCGGGCGACGGUUGUCCCGGUUUAAGCGUGUAGGCUGGUUUUCCAGGCAAAUCCGGAAAAUCAAGGCUGAGGCGUGAUGACGAGGCACUACGGUGCUGAAGCAACAAAUGCCCUGCUUCCAGGAAAAGCCUCUAAGCAUCAGGUAACAUCAAAUCGUACCCCAAACCGACACAGGUGGUCAGGUAGAGAAUACCAAGGCGCUUGAGAGAACUCGGGUGAAGGAACUAGGCAAAAUGGUGCCGUAACUUCGGGAGAAGGCACGCUGAUAUGUAGGUGAAGUCCCUCGCGGAUGGAGCUGAAAUCAGUCGAAGAUACCAGCUGGCUGCAACUGUUUAUUAAAAACACAGCACUGUGCAAACACGAAAGUGGACGUAUACGGUGUGACGCCUGCCCGGUGC